rnacentral:lncRNA from 1 species
GAUUGAAAUUAGUUACUUUGGUUCUCCUUUUUGACUCCCAGAAGAUGGACUAAAUCCAAGAACCACUGUGCCUCUGCCUUGCAGAAGUGCAGUUUCAGUGCAUCUAACAAAAUAAUCCUGGAACACCAGCAGAGCCACAGAGAAUCAAAAACAUUUUGGGAAUAAGAUUGUACAGACAUAGCCAAAAGGAAAUCUCUCCAAAACUACCUCAAAGAAAUAUUUCUGCAACUGCAUAAGAUCAUGAGAAAAUAAAAUCCCUCUGUUCUCAAAUAACACUUUAAAGUUAUAAAAGUAGAGUGUGGGGAAAUCAGCUCAGCCAUGGAUUAUCAAAACAACAGAAAUAUAAACCAGGAAGGCAUGGUCCAGUUGGACAGCAGCAGAGUUGGGGAAAGUUGUAUGCAAUCACAUCAAUCAAUUAAACAACUGGAAAAUAUGCACUGAGUGCUUAGUGUGUUUUUACUUAAAAUAUGCUUAGGAAACAGCAAACGACUGGACUGAGUAUUAACCGACUAUAAAAAGAGAUCACAGGCAUGGAAAUUCAUGUAGGCUGGACAGGAAGAAGAUGACUUCACCUAUUAAGUAGGAUUUAUGGACAGCCUUUUUGAUUUCUUAAGAAAUGAAUGCUACCUGGAAAUGGGAGAAGUAGGGCAUUCUGAAGAAAAAAGACAAACUAAACAGACAGCAGGAAGUAGUGGUCAAAACAUCUAAGAGGUGGAAUAUGGAGGCUAUUGAAAAACCACCCUCUUUCCCAUUUAUCUACAACUCUAGCU